UCCUGGCUCAGAUUGAACGCUGGCGGCAUGCUUUACACAUGCAAGUCGAACGGCAGCACGAAAGAGCUUGCUCUUUUGGUGGCGAGUGGCGAACGGGUGAGUAAUACAUUGGAACGUACCGAGUAAUGGGGGAUAACUGUCCGAAAGGAUGGCUAAUACCGCAUACGCUCUGAGGAGGAAAGCGGGGGACCUUCGGGCCUCGCGUUAUUCGAGCGGCCAAUGUCUGAUUAGCUAGUUGGUGGGGUAAAGGCCUACCAAGGCGACGAUCAGUAGUGGGUCUGAGAGGAUGAUCCGCCACACUGGGACUGAGACACGGCCCAGACUCCUACGGGAGGCAGCAGUGGGGAAUUUUGGACAAUGGGCGAAAGCCUGAUCCAGCCAUGCCGCGUGUCUGAAGAAGGCCUUCGGGUUGUAAAGGACUUUUGUCAGGGAAGAAA
rnacentral:rRNA from 1 species